rnacentral:rRNA from 1 species
UACAUGUGGGGCAAGCGUUGUUCGGAAUUACUGGGCAUAAAGGGUGCGUAGGUGGCUUGUUAAGUCAGGGGUGAAAGUUUUCGGCCCAACCGGAAAAUGGCCUUUGAUACUGGCGAGCUCGAGUGCGUGAGGGGUAACCGGAACGAGCAGUGUAGCGGUGAAAUGCGUAGAUAUUGCUCGGAAGGCCAACGGCGAAGGCAGGUUACUGGUGCGCAACUGACACUGAGGCACGAAAGCGUGGGGAGCAAGCAGG